rnacentral:rRNA from 1 species
AUGCGAUCAUACCAGCACUAAAGCACCGGAUCCCAUCAGAACUCCGAAGUUAAGCGUGCUUGGGCGAGAGUAGUACUAGGAUGGGUGACCUCC